AAUAUGCAAAUGAAGGUGACUUCUAAAGAAGUGAGUGAGUGUCAGUGAGAGACAGAAGAGCUCCAUCAGCUCAGCUUCAACAUCAACCAUGUUCUCUGGAGCUCUGAUACUGCUGCUGGCAGCUGGAUCCUGUGUGAACAGUAUUGAUCUCAUCCAGCCAGACUCAAUGGUUGUGCAGCCUGGACAGUCUUUGACCAUCACCUGUCAGGUCUCUGGUUAUUCUCUGACUGAUGACAGCUAUGCAACCGGUUGGAUCAGACAGUGUGAAGGAAAACCAAUGGACUGGAUUUCCCAUCAGUGGGGAACAAGUGGCCUUGUUCAAAAUAAUGCUCUGAAGAACAAGUUCAGCUACAGCAGAGACACUUCUGCUGGAACAGUGACUCUAAACGGACAGAACGUGCAGCCUGAAGACUCUGCUGUGUAUUACUGUGCCAUACAGCCAGACAGCCACAACAACACAAACCAUCAGUAG